AGCAGCCGCGGUAAUUCCAGCUCCAAUAGCGUAUAUUAAAGUUGUUGCAGUUAAAAAGCUCGUAGUUGAAUUUCGGGAUUGACACAUCGGUCGUGCCUUAAGGGGUAUGAACUGGUGUAGUCAAUUUCUCACCUUCUGGAGAACCGCGAUGUCCUUAAUUGGGUGCCGCGAGGAACCAGGACCUUUACUUUGAAAAAAUUAGAGUGUUUAAAGCAGGCAUUUUUGCUUGAAUACAUUAGCAUGGAAUAAUAAAAUAGGACGGCAUGAUUCUAUUUUGUUGGUUUCUAGGAUCACCGUAAUGAUUAAUAGGGAUAGUUGGGGGCAUUAGUAUUCAAUUGUCAGAGGUGAAAUUCUUGGAUUUAUUGAAGACUAACUACUGCGAAAGCAUUUGCCAAGGAUGUUUUCAUUAAUCAAGAACGAAAGUUAGGGGAUCGAAGACGAUCAGAUACCGUCGUAGUCUUAACCAUAAACUAUGCCGACUAGGAAUCAGACGAUGUUAAUUUUUAAUGACUCGUUUGGC
rnacentral:rRNA from 1 species